CACCUCUGGAUUCCAAAACCUUGAUCGCUCCUUAGUCCUUAUUCUUUGGAUUAUGUUCAAGGGGGCCAAUAGCUGAGCAGGGUGUUUGGAUUUUUAUGUGGAUGGAGCUCUUAUGUAUAUACCAAUAAAUAGUUGGAUUCGAUUGGAUUGGAUAAGUGCAACUACUUGGUUAGCUGAAAUCUCUUGAAGGCAUUUGGUUAUUUUUAUGAUGGAGAGCUUGGCCCAGUUAGAGGUGUUGUGUGAAAGGCUUUACAACUCUCAGGAUUCAGCAGAACGAGCACAUGCAGAGAACACCCUGAAAUGCUUUUCUGUGAAUGCUGACUACAUACCCCAAUGCCAGUUUAUUUUGGACAAUGCAUUGACUCCUUAUGCACUGAUGCUGGCUAGUUCAAGCUUGUUGAAACAAGUCACUGAGCAUAGUCUCUCAUUGCAGCUCCGCCUUGAUAUCCGUAAUACCUUGUUUUAAGCAUGUUGUCUCUUUCAGGG